rnacentral:rRNA from 1 species
UACAGAGGAGCCAAGCGUUGUCCGGAUUGACUGGGCGUAAAACGCACGCAGGCGGAUGCGCGCGUGGGGUGUGAAAUCUGGCCGCUUAACGGCCAGGCGCCAUCCCAUACGGCGCGUCUGGAGUGAUGCAGAGGUCGGUGGAAUUGCCGGUGUAGUGGUGAAAUGCGUAGAGAUCGGCAGGAACACCCAGGGGGAAACCAGCCGACUGGGCAUCUACUGACGCUGAGGUGCGAGAGCGUGGGGAGCGAACCGG